UUUGACACAGAAACCUAAAAGAAAAAUGAAGAGAUUAUUCGGGCUUCUGCAGCCUUGAGUCAGAAAUUUAAAACAUGGGACUCGGGGUAAGUUUGUUGUUACAGCAUUUGCCUUGUAGCCCUGGGGAUCUGGGUUUUAUCCCUGUAGCCAGUGAAGACACCAAGAGCGGUGGUAUGUGCUUGUAAUCUCUGCCCUGAUGUAGAGGCAGAUGUCUUCCUGAGGAUGCAGUCCCCAGCCAGCCUGCCUAGCCUACUGGCCAAGCAUUGGGCCAAUAAGAUAACCUUGUUCCAAGCAGCCACUUUGGGACACUGUGGCAGUAUCUCCUGCAGCAGAAAGCACACAGUAGGUAUGACAGCACACUUCUGAAUUCUGAGUGUGCUGGCCACGGCAGAAUCUGGAACCAGAGAAGUAGCCCCAGGCAGGUGAGAUGCCCUGGGACCACUUGAAGAUGAACCCUAGUACAUGGAUGCAUUGAUCAGCUGACCCAGUAGCCUCCUGGUCUGACUAGAGGAAAGAGUGAUUUUGGCUCAUGGGUAAUUUGAGUGAGAACAGCCCCUGUAGACUCAUAUAUCUGAAUGCCUGGUCUCCAGUGGAACUGUUUGGGAAGAGUUAGGAGGCGUGGCCUUGUUAGAAGGGGUGUGUCCCAGGGAGUGGGCUUUUGGAAGUUUCGCAAGUCUGCUCCAUUCCCAGUUAGCUCUUUCUCUCUCUGCCGGUUGUUGUCUCAGUGUGUGUGUGUGUGUGUGUGUGUGUGUGUGUGUGUGUGUGUGUGUGUGAUUGGCUUGGAGCUCACCUGUUAUGCUAGGCUGGUUGGUCAGCAAGUCCCAGGAACCCUCUGCCCAGCCCUCUCCAGUGCUGGGGUUAAAGGGCAUACCACCACGUUGGGUUUUGAAUGUGGGUUAAGGAGGUGCCACUUAGUCCUUGUGCUUGAGGGGCAUGGAUUUUGCAGAGCAGGCUCUCUCCCCAGCCUCAUCUUGCAAUAACACAGAUGUCCAUUUCUAUGGUGGUGUGAUGGUUAGCUUUGGCUGUCUGUCUGACUGGAGUUAGAACCAUUAGAAGACAGUCCAAAGGAUUUCCACUGGGGUUUAACCAUGGAGGUAAGGCUCUUUCUAAUAUCAGAGGCACCAUGGGCUUGGGGCUCAGACUGAAAAGAGGAGAAGGUAGGAGGAGCCUGAUGAGCACUAACACUCAUCUCUGCUUCCAACUGCAGAUCCAGUAUGAGCAGCCGCUCCGUGCUCCCACUGCCGUGCCUUUCUGCCUGACACACUGUGUUUAUUUAUUUAUUUAUUUAGUCAUGGUAAAGGGGGGACGUCCCAGGGAACAACUCCUCAUCAAGCCUCUGGCCGUUUUCUGAUGCUUAAACAGCAGCAGAGAAUGGUAUCAUUAAAUUGUGUCUCUGUAGUGAUAUUUUCUAGCCAAAGCCAAGGUCAAGGUGGCUAAGAGAUAACAAAAUAAUCAGAUUCAUCCAAACCUUACAGAUCCUGUGACCCUAGAAAGGAAUAGAUGGUAGCCUCCUAGAGCCUGUCUUGUGGCCUCCAUAAGCACUUGUGUGCAUGUGCAUAUGAAUGUAUGCACAUGCACACACACACAGAGGCGGGAGGGGAAGAGACAGACAGACGCAGAGACCAAGAGAGAGAGAGAGACAGAGAGUGAGGAACUGGGCAUUUAGAGCCCAGUGACAGAGCUGGUCUGCACACUAUUGUAGCUUCAUCCUCAGUACCACAAGAGGCACCAGGACAUUCCUAGCAACAUUUUCCCAGUCACCUAAAACUGGAAGUUAUUAUAGUAUCCAUCCAAAGAUGGAAGUGGAAUAUGGGUAAUACAAGAAUGAAUAUGGCCUUUAGGUUUUUUACACUCAGCUCACUAGCCCACUUCCAUGAUCACAAAUGUGUCCUCCUUUUUAAUAAACUGUAUUUAUUCAUUCCUAAAACAAACAAACAAAAAUGAACACGGACGGAAGAACAUGGGGGUGAAUUUCAAACCACAAUAGGUAAUUGAAGGAAUUUCAUGAGAAACAGUGCAGACUGCUUAACUCCACUUACCCUUCCUAACAGGCCAGACUCGCGCUGGCGGUUAGUGACUGUCCUUGCUGAGAGCAGUGGUAUAGUGCCUGCACAAGGGGCAUCUGGGAGGCUUGGGCCUGUUUUGUCUUGCUGCCCAAAUGUUAACAGCUCAUGGAAUUCCACUCUUGCACGGUGGACAGUUCUGUUCACGUCUUGGAUCUCAAUAGAAUUCAAAUGAACAAAGAACCAAUGCAGACCCUGGGGACCGGCCUUACCAAACCCAGGUGUUCUGAAAUAGUUUGCAUUCAACUGCUGCAGGAGCUAGUGAACUGUGGGAUUCUGGUAAAUGGAAGUGUGUGUCUGAUGUGGUCACUACUGUGGAUAUCCAUUCUGCCCAGACAGUCUUCUAAGCAAAGGUACCCGGGCCACAGUAGGGGACAGCCAGAUCAGCUAUGGAGUUUGGUGAUCUUUUUACUUAGGCAGGCAUUGCGGAAACAUGAAGCCCCUUCUGUUUUGUGCUUGGGUUAUCCUGUAUGUUCUCAAUCUUACUAUCUCAGAAGAAACAUAAAACUUCUAUGUGUGGAACCUGCAUUAAGUAACUAAGCCUCAGCACCAGACCGUGUCCCAGAUCGAUACUCUUACCUCUUCCAGACAGUCGAACGCCAUCAUUGAUGGCAUUUUUGUUUCUAUAGGGUUUCUCCUGGCCCACUAUCUUCCCGGUAAAUGGUGCGUAGACCACAGCUCCAUCGGAGCACAGGACGUCCACUCCUGGGUGAUGCCUUUGGGUUCUAGAAGACCCCUUCCUUGAAGCAGAAUUUGAAAGCUGCUCCAAACACAGCCAUUGCUGCACACAGCACUGGCUUCCAGUCUGUCAGAGGGAGGUCACCGUGGGUCCUCUAGGAAACACAGGACUCAGACAAUUCGAAAAGAGAGGAACCAGCAGCCGUUUGUGAUCCUUCAUACCUUUGAGCAGAGUACUGCCCACAGCCAUAGCUGUCACAUGUCCGGAUCUCGUUGGAAGAUUUGCUGGCACAGAUGUUAGCCCAUGGUCCUGCCAGGGCUGCAGAGGAGAAAUAUGAGAGUCAUGGGCAGCCACAGCCUGUGUCUCUCCUGUAUGUCUCCCCAGGACACGGGGUCUAAUCCCCCCUCAUUUGGUUAGUUUCUCCUAUGGAUAGCUGAUUCAGAUAUACAACACAGUCCCCUGGCUAUGUAAUUCUGUGGCAUAUAAAAUACUUAUUUAUAAGCAUCAA